rnacentral:lncRNA from 1 species
UUUUUUUUUCCCCUUUUUUUAUGCUCUGUGUGUGUGUGUGUGUCAAGAUUUUAGAUGUGAAUCCUUCAAAGUUGUCAGACUACGUUUCCCUCCAGCUGGUUUGGAGCUGAUUUUCCAACUUCUUUUACAAGGAGAAGGGCAGGAUGUUUUUAACAGAAUGUGACCUCACUGGAAUACUAGAGAAAGCAAUAACAUUUCUGAAUGGGGCAGUGUGGAGAAAUCCUAAGAGAAAUAGCAUAAGAGCAUUUUGGAAUAUAUCCCGGAAAAGAUAACUUUCUACACAUCUGUAGACAUUUGCCAGGUUAAGACCGUGGCUUCUUGUCAGAAAAAGUUAUACCAGAUCUCAUUUUAGGCCGUAACUAGCACUGCAACAUCCGGUAAACUAAAAAGGAAAAAAUUGGUAAGCAAAUCUUGAAUAAAAUUGUGUACACUAUUUUAUGUCAGAGGUACAGUAAAUAAGUUCCAG